rnacentral:rRNA from 1 species
UACAGAGGGGGCAAGCGUUAUUCGGAAUUAUUGGGCGUAAAGGGCGCGUAGGCGGCCUGGCAAGUGGAAGGUGAAAUCCCUCGGCUUAACCGAGGAACUGCCCUCCAAACUGCUUGGCUUGAGUCCGGGAGAGGUGAGUGGAAUUCCCAGUGUAGCGGUGAAAUGCGUAGAUAUUGGGAGGAACGCCAGUGGCGAAGGCGGCUCACUGGACCGGUACUGACGCUGAUGCGCGAAAGCGUGGGGAGCAAACGGG